AACGAACGCUGGCGGCAUGCCUAACACAUGCAAGUCGAACGAGACCUUCGGGUCUAGUGGCGCACGGGUGCGUAACGCGUGGUAACCUGCCCUUAGGUUCGGAAUAACUCCCCUAAAGGGGUGCUAAUACCGGAUAAUGUCUUCGGACCAAAGAUUUAUCGCCUUUUGAUGGGCCCGAGUUGGAUUAGCUAGUUGGUAGGGUAAAAGCCUACCAAGGCGACGAUCCAUAGCUGGUCUGAGAGGAUGAUCAGCCACACUGGGACUGAGACACGGCCCAGACUCCUACGGGAGGCAGCAGUGGGGAAUAUUGGACAAUGGGCGAAAGCCUGAUCCAGCAAUGCCGCGUGAGUGAUGAAGGCCUUAGGGUUGUAAAGCUCUUUUACCCGGGAUGAUAAUGACAGUACCGGGAGAAUAAGCUCCGGCUAACUCCGUG
rnacentral:rRNA from 1 species